UACGAAGGGGGCGAGCGUUUGUUCGGAUUUACUGGGCGUAAAGGGCGCGCAGGCGGCAGAUCAAGUCAGACGUGAAAGCCCCGGGCUUAACCUGGGAACUGCGUUUGGGACUGGUUUGCUAGAGAUCGGGAGAGGAGAGUGGAAUUCCCAGUGUAGAGGUGAAAUUCGUAGAUAUUGGGAAGAACACCGGUGGCGAAGGCGGCUCUCUGGACCGAUACUGACGCUGAGGCGCGAAAGCGUGGGGAGCAAACAGG
rnacentral:rRNA from 1 species